UUUUGUGAGGAACAUUCUCUGAAGGCACCAGUUCCACCUGACCUUGGAAACUAAGCAGGAUUAAACCUGGGUAGUACUUGGAGAGGAGACCACCAAGGAAGACCAGGUGCUAUAGGCC
rnacentral:rRNA from 1 species